rnacentral:rRNA from 1 species
AUUGAACGCUGGCGGCAGGCCUAACACAUGCAAGUCGAGCGAGCGGCGGACGGGUGAGUAAUGCCUGGGAAUUGCCCAGUCGAGGGGGAUACUCGUUGGAAACGACUGCUAAUACCGCAUACGAUUGGAUUGCCCAGGUGGGAUUAGCUAGUUGGGGGGGUAAUGGCUCACCAAGGCGACGCUCCCUAGCUGGUCUGAGAGGAUGAUCAGCAACACUGGAACUGAGACACGGUCCAGACUCCUACGGGAGGCAGCAGUGGGGAAUAUUGCACAAUGGGGGAAAGCCUGAUGCAGCCAGGCCGCGUGUGUGAAGAAGGCCUUCGGGUUGUAAAGCACUUUCAGCGAGGAGGCGUUACUCGCAGAAGAAGCACCGGCUAACUCCGUGCCAGCAGCCGCGGUAAUUC